UACGUAGGGUGCAAGCGUUGUCCGGAAUCAUUGGGCGUAAAGCGCGUGUAGGCGGCCCGGUAAGUCCGCUGUGAAAGUCGGGGGCUCAACCCUCGGAUGCCGGUGGAUACUGUCGGGCUCGAGUACGGAAGAGGCGAGUGGGAAUUCCUGGUGUAGCGGUGAAAAUGCGCCAGAUAUCAGGAGGAACACGUAUGCGAAGGCAGCUCCGCUGGGACGUCACUGACGCUGAGACGCGAAGCGUGGGGAGCAAACAGGAUUAAGACUACCUAGUAGUCC
rnacentral:rRNA from 1 species